rnacentral:rRNA from 1 species
CCGGAAGGAGCAGUGGAGGGAUAAGAAGAGAGAAUGCCGGAAUGAGUAGCGAGAGGAAGGUGGGAAUCCUUCCGGCCGAAUAUCUAAGGUUUCCAGAGUAAAGCUGAUCUGCUCUGGGUAAGUCGGGGCCUAAGGAGAGGUCGAAAGACGUAUCCGAUGGACAACAGGUUUAGAUUCCUGUACCACAUAUAAACAGAACUGUGGGGACGCAUGUGGAAAGCAUAAGCCGGGAAUGGAAAUACCGGUACAAGCGGAAGAGGUGUCAGGCUGGCAAAUCCGCCUGAUAAGCCAAAGACGUGAUGUGUAGCGAAAUAAAAGUAGCGAAGUGUGUGAGCCAUGUGCCGAGAAAAGCCGCUAUUGUUUUAUAUGUGCCCGUACCGUAAACCGACACAGGUGGAUGAGGAGAGAAUCCUAAGGCCGACGGAAGAAGCAUUGUUAAGGAACUCGGCAAAAUGACCCCGUAACUUCGGGAGAAGGGGUGCCCACUUCAGGGUGGGCCGCAGAGAAUAGGCUCAAGCAACUGUUUAGCAAAAACACAGGUCUAUGCGAAACCGUAAGGUGAAGUAUAUGGGCUGACGCCUGCCCGGUGCUGGAAGGUUAAGAGGAGAGGUUAGAGCAAUCGAAGCUUUGAAUUUAAGCCCCAGUAAACGGCGGCCGUAACUAUAACGGUCCUAAGGUAGCGAAAUUCCUUGUCGGGUAAGUUCCGACCCGCACGAAAGGCGUAAUGAUUUGAGCACUGUCUCGACAAUGCAUCCGGUGAAAUUGAAGUACCAGUGAAGAUGCUGGUUACCCGCGCCAGGACGGAAAGACCCCAUGGAGCUUUACUCCAGUUUGGUACUGGGAUUCGGUACUGCACGUACAGGAUAGGUGGGAGACUGAGAACUUGGGACGCCAGUUUCAAGGGAGUCGCUGUUGGGAUACCACCCCUGCAGUAUUGGGUUUCUAACCAGCCGCUGUGAUCCAGCGGUGGGACAAUGCCAGGCGGGGAGUUUGACUGGGGCGGUCGCCUCCGAAAGGGUAUCGGAGGCGCUCAAAGGUUCCCUCAGAAUGGUCGGAAACCAUUUGAAGAGUGCAAAGGCAGAAGGGAGCUUGACUGCGACACCGACGGGUGGAGCAGGUACGAAAGUAGGACUUAGUGAUCCGGUGGCAUAAAGUGGGAUUGCCAUCGCUCAACGGAUAAAAGCUACCCUGGGGAUAACAGGCUUAUCACUCCCA